GCCUCCGUAGUCUAAUGGUUAUUACGCUUGCCUUGGCAGCGAGAGGCCGCAGGUUCGAGUCCCGCCGGAGGCA